AAUAAUAUUUAACCAAAAUGAUUGUAAUGAUAAAAAACAUCAAUAAUAGAAUAACUAAAUUUCCAUUUUCUAUCAUAUUUAACCAAAAUAGAAAAAUUAGAAUCCAAAGUAUCAUCCAUUCUACUUAACAUCAAUAAUUUAUCAAGUAUAACAUUCUAAACAAAAUAUCCAACUUUUUAAAUAUGACCAAGAGUUCAGAAGUUUUGAACGUCGACAAGCUUAUCGGGAAUUGUUUUCGACUCUUUCUGUCCCUAGGCUAGUGCUGCCUUAAUCAACCAUAGGAAUUCUGGAUUGUUUGC
rnacentral:lncRNA from 1 species